rnacentral:rRNA from 1 species
CAAAGUGUAGCAAUACAUUUCGUAUUUAGUGGCGGACGGGUGAGUAACACGUAGGCAACCUACCCUCAAGCGGGGGACAACUCAGGGAAACUUGGGCUAAUACCGCAUAAGACCACGGACUGGGAUGUCAGUGGGAAAAGGAGCAAUUCACUUGGGGAUGGGCCUGCGGCCUAUCAGGUAGUUGGUGGGGUAAAGGCCUACCAAGCCAAAGACGGGUAGCCGGUCUGAGAGGACGAACGGCCACACUGGAACUGCGACACGGUCCAGACUCCUACGGGAGGCAGCAGUGGGGAAUUUUGCACAAUGGGCGAAAGCCUGAUGCAGCGACGCCGCGUGGAGGAUGACGGCCUUCGGGUUGUAAACUUCUUUUGUAGGGGAAAAUGAUGAUGGUACCCUAUGAAUAAGCCACGGCUAACUCUGUGCCAGCAGCCGCGGUAAGACAGAGGUGGCGAGCGUUGUUCGGAAUUACUGGGCUUAAAGGGCGCGUAGGCGGUGGUAUAAGUCUGGGGUGGAAUCCUAAAGCUAAACUAUAGGACUGCCCUGGAAACUGUAUUACUUGAGUCGGUGAGGGGAAGGCGGAAUUCCUGGUGUAGCGGUGAAAUGCGUAGAUAUCAGGAGGAAGGCCUGUGGUGAAGACGGCCUUCUGGCAC